AUUGAACGCUGGCGGCAUGCUUUACACAUGCAAGUCGAACGGUAACAGGCCGCAAGGUGCUGACGAGUGGCGAACGGGUGAGUAAUGCAUCGGAACGUGCCCAGUCGUGGGGGAUAACGCAGCGAAAGCUGCGCUAAUACCGCAUACGAUCUAUGGAUGAAAGCGGGGGACCGGAAGGCCUCGCGCGAUUUGAGCGGCCGUUGUCAGAUUAGGUAGUUGGGGGGGUAAAGGCUCACCAAGCCAACGAUCUGUAGCUGGUCUGAGAGGACGACCAGCCACACUGGGACUGAGACACGGCCCAGACUCCUACGGGAGGCAGCAGUGGGGAAUUUUGGACAAUGGGCGCAAGCCUGAUCCAGCAAUGCCGCGUGCAGGAAGAAGGCCUUCGGGUUGUAAACUGCUUUUGUACGGAGCGAAACGGUCUGGGUUAAUACCCUGGGCUAAUGACGGUACCGUAAGAAUAAGCACCGGCUAACUACGUGCCAGCCGCCGCAGUAAGAC
rnacentral:rRNA from 1 species